ensembl:misc_RNA Metazoa_SRP Metazoan signal recognition particle RNA
GCUGGGUGUGGUGGCGCAUGCCUGUAGUCCCAGCUGCUCAGGAGGCUGAGGCAGGAGAAUCACUUGAACCCAGGAGGCAGAGGUUGCAGUGAACCGAAAUCACAUCACUGCACUCCAGCCUGGGUUACAGAGUGAGACUCUGUCUCAA